rnacentral:rRNA from 1 species
GUCCAUGCUGUAAACGAUGAACACUUGGUGUGGCGGGAGUUGACCCCUGCCGUGCCGUAGCUAACGCGAUAAGUGUUCCGCCUGGGAGUACGGCCGCAAGGUUGAAACUCAAAGGAAUUGACGGGGCCCGCACAAGCGGUGGAGCAUGUGGUUUAAUUCGACGCAACGCGAAGAACCUUACCUGGGCUUGAAAUACAGGAGACACCGCCAGAGAUGGCGUCUUUCGCAAGAACUGCUGUAUAGGUGCUGCAUGGCUGUCGU